CUUGGCGGCCAUAGCGCCGUGGAACCACCUGAUCCCAUGCCGAACUCAGAAGUGAAACGCGGUAGCGCCGAUGGUAGUGUGGCAUUCGCCAUGCGAGAGUAGGACACUGCCAGGC
rnacentral:rRNA from 3 species